rnacentral:tRNA from 1 species
CCGGGGUGGCCGAGCGGCCCAAGGCGCGGGACUUGAGGCAUCCCGUCCCCGCGAGGGGGCGUGGGUUCAAAUCCCACCCCCGGCGC